GAUGAACGCUGGCGGCGUGCCUAAUACAUGCAAGUCGAGCGAACAGAUGAGGAGCUUGCUCCUCUGACGUUAGCGGCGGACGGGUGAGUAACACGUGGAUAACCUACCUAUAAGACUGGGAUAACUUCGGGAAACCGGAGCUAAUACCGGAUAAUAUAUUGAACCGCAUGGUUCAAUAGUGAAAGACGGUUUUGCUGUCACUUAUAGAUGGAUCCGCGCCGCAUUAGCUAGUUGGUAAGGUAACGGCUUACCAAGGCAACGAUGCGUAGCCGACCUGAGAGGGUGAUCGGCCACACUGGAACUGAGACACGGUCCAGACUCCUACGGGAGGCAGCAGUAGGAAAUCUUCCGCAAUGGGCGAAAGCCUGACGGAGCAACGCCGCGUGAGUGAUGAAGGUCUUCGGAUCGUAAAACUCUGUUAUUAGGGAAGAACAAAUGUGUAAGUAACAAUGCACGUCUGGACGGUACCUAAUCAGAAAGCCACGGCGAACUACGU
rnacentral:rRNA from 1 species